CUGAACUCUUUCAGAACUACUAAUAGACAUCAUAAUAUUUUCAUCAUUUUAUCUCCUAACAAGAGCACUCUCCUACUACCACAUUACAGUGGCUGUGAUGACAUUCAGAAAAUUUAGCACUGAUAUAAUACUAUUACCUGACCUACAGUCCUUACUCAAACACUACUUUUAAUUAGGAUGUAUUCUGAUAUCUCUUAACCUAGAAUAGUUCCCCAGCUUUCUCUCUUUCAUAGCAUUAAUAUUUUGAUGAGAAUGUGGAACAACUGAAAUUCUCAAACAAAUGCUGGUAUGAAUGUAAAAUGGUAUGGGCACUUUGGAAAACUGUUUGACAAUUUUAUACAAAAUUAAAUAUUUUCCUUUUCUAUGACCCAGUCAUUAUACUUCUAAGUAUUUUCCAAGAGAAAUGAAAACAUGUGUACACAAAAAAUAUGAAAUAUGCAUAAGGGUUAUAUUUAUAGUAGUAAAAAUAGACACAAUACAUAUAUCCAAUAACAUCCAAAUGGAUAAAAAUUUUGUUUGCAUUUAUACUUGGAAUACUACACAGCAAUAAUUUUAAAAGAAUAAAUUGCCAAUGUACUCAGCUAUAAAGAUGAAAUGUUAAAAGCAUUAUAAUGAUGAGUGAUACUAAUCAGAAGAGAGUAUCUACCAUACUAUUCCAUUUAUCUGAAGUUCUAUAGAUGAAAAAAGUAAUAUAAAUUCAUAGAAAUAACUUGUGAUUACUAGUAGGGAAAUGGCUAGAAAGAGGGACAGAAAGCUUUCUGGAGCAAUUAAAAUGUCUUAUUUUUACAUUUGUACUUUAAUUGUACAAUUAACAUCCACAUAUCCCUGUAUGUAAAUUUUACCUCAAUUUUUAAAGAGUGUAAAUUAGACUAUGAGCAACAUGAAGACAAGAACUUUGUUUUGUACACUGCUUUGUCUUAGCACCUAGCCAAAGCCCAGGAUAGUCAACAGGAAUUCAAUAAAUGUUGAAACAAAAAAGAAGCAGGCCUUGAAAUCAUCUUUAUCAAUGAUUGCCAAAUGCAUAUUGGAGAUUUUAACUCAACCCUAUGUAAUAUGGGUAUAACAUAUAUUUGAAACCUUAUUUAUCCUCUUCUUCUGUUUCUAAGAAUCCUAUAUAUCAAUCAUAAGAGUUUUGAAAUUUAAAAAUGGCUAUUUCAAUACAGACUUUUCUGAAUCUAAAACUGCCACUUUCCCUGCUUUUGCAUACUGUCUCCACUUUAUGUAAAUAAGCCUCUAGGAUUACAGAAUAGAUUGGCUAAAAGUGAGGUGUUGUGUCCAUGCAGAGUUAUGUUGAUAUGCUUUUAGCAAUAAUAUAUUUAUGUGAAUCCAAGUGGUCAUUUCCAACAGGUAGUUGAAUAUGGAGUCUUAAGAGAAAAGUCUGGGAUGUAUAAAUGAUUUUGGCUAGCACAGUUUUGACAUAUAGUUGGCUUCCAAUAAAUAUUUGUUGGAUGAGUAAGCAAAUGAAUUGUGAAUUUUGGAGUCUAGCAAAUACAAUUGAUAGCAUUUCCUUUCAGUGUUCUUCUGUUCAUAUAUAUCAAUAAAAUAAUGUUCUUGAAAGUCACAUUUAUUUCUAUUUUAUUUUGAGAAAGUAAUGUUACUUUAUGGGAGAAUAUUUAUAAAGCAGCAAUGAAAUGCCAUCAUGUGACCAAAGACAGAACUACAGCAUAAAUUAAGUUAACAAGGGAGAGUGUGGCAAAGAAGGCCUUCCAUAGAGAAGGGAAGAUUUUUAUUCAGGAUUCAUGGAGGUCCAACACUUAUACUAGAUUCUUCUCAGAAGUAAGAUAUAAAAGAAACAAAUGAGGAAUUAAUACCUUUAUCUUUUUUUGGUGUGGGGGAUAGAACCUAGGGCCUCCUGCAUGCCCCAGCCUCACAAAUGAGGCAUUGAAAAAGGCAACAGCCCCUAUGUCAACUAAAGAAAAAGGAAAUGGAAUUAUGCAAUUUUCAACCUUAAGAUAUUUGAGGGGGGGGGGUACCAGGGAUUGAACUCUGGGGCACUCAACCACUGAGCCACAUCCCGCCCUAUUUUGUAUUUUAUUUAGAGACAAAGUCUUGUCUUGGCACCUCCUUUUUGCUGAGGCUGACUUUGAGCUCACCAUCCUCCUGCCUCAGCCUCCUGAGCCACUAGGGUUACAAGCAUGUGCCACCAUACCCAGAAAGAUAUUUUCUAAAGAUCUAUGUUAUGCUUUUUAUCUGAAAUGUUCCCUAAAGGCUCAUGUGUUGAAAGUUUGAUCUCCAAUGCAGUAAUGUUCAGAGGUGGGACAUUUUGGAAAGUGAUUAGAUCAUGAGAACUUUUAUCAAUGGAUUAAUUCAUCAAUGGAUUCAUAUUUAUUUGGAUCCAAGUGGUCAUUUCCAGUAGGUUGUGGAAUAUGAAGUCUUGAGAGAAAAGUCUGGGAUGUAUAAAUGAUUUUGGUGAAUGGAGUAUUAGGAGGUGAUGAGAACUGUAGGAGGUGGGAACUAUGUGAAGGGAGUGGUUCUUUGAAGGCAUGCCCUUGGGGACUAUAUCUUGUCCCUAGACCCCUUUCUUUCUUCCAUUCUCUCUCAUCGCCCCCCCCCCUCUUUCUCUCUCUCUCCUGACUGUCAUGAGGAGAAUAGCUUACCUUCCCCAUGCUCUUCCUCCAUUAUGUUCUGUCUUGCAUCUGGUCAAAAGCAAUGGAGUCAAGUGACCAUGGACUGAAACCAUGAGCCAAAAUAAAUCUUUCUUACUCUAUGUUUAUUUCCCCAACUAUUUUGUCACAGUGAUAGAAAGCUGAUUAAAACACAUACUCACUGAAAAAAAUUAAAACUGAAAUACAUAGAAGAAUAAAGAUGAAGCUAUAAAUUUCUAAUAAAAAUAAUCUAAAAUAUUCACUUUACAUAAUUUGCCAAUUAUCCUUAACUUGUGUAUGAGUGUGUGUGUGUGAGUGAUAGCUAACAUUUUCAUGAAACAGUAUGCCAAGAACAGCUUUCUAUCAAAACUACUCUAAGAUUUCAUCUCACUCUAGUCUGAGUGGCAACUAUUAAGAAUGCAAACAACAAUUAGUGUUGGCGAGGAUGUGGGGAAAAAGGCACACUCAUACACUGCUGGUAGGACUGCAGACUGGGUGCAGCCAAUAUGGAAAGCAGUAUGGAGAUUCCUUGGAAAGCUGGGAAUGGAACCACCACUUGACCCAGCUAUCCCACUCCUCGGUCUAUACCCAAAGGACUUAAAAGCAGCAUACUACAGGGACACAGCCACAUCAAUGUUUAUAGCAGCACAAUUCACAAUAGCUAAACUGUGGAGCCAACCUAGAUGCCCUUCAGUAGAUGAAUGUAUAAGAAACGUGGCAUUUUACACAAUGGAAUAUUACUCAGAAAUAAAAGAGAAUAAAAUAAUGGCAUUUGCAGGUAAAUGAAUCGAAUUGGAGGAGAUAAUGCUAAGUGAAGUUAGCCAAUCCCAAUAAAACAAAUGCCUAAUGGUUUCUCUGAUAUAAAGAGGCUGAUUCAUAAUGGAGUUGCAGGGGGGAGCAUGGGAGGAAUAGACAAACUCUAGAUAGGGCAGAGGGGAGUGAGGGGAAGGGAGGGGGCAGGGGAGUAGGGAAGAUGGUGGAAUGAGAAGGACAUCAUUACCUAAGUACAUGUAUAAAGACACGAAUAAUGUGACUGUGUACAACCAGAGAUAUGAAAAAUUGUGCUCAAUGUGUGUAAUAUGAAUUGUAAUGAAUUCUGCUGUCAUACACAACAAAUUAAAAUUAAAAAGUGUAAUCAUAAAAUAGUAUCAGAUUUGUAAGUUAUAA
rnacentral:lncRNA from 1 species